rnacentral:lncRNA from 1 species
UUAGAAUUACCUGCGCCUCUUGUAACAAAUCAGUGAACCCUGUCUCCCGUGCCUACCAAAAUGACUUAAGGGCACUGGGCUACUCUACUACUAAACGACUAGUUGGGGCAUUUCACUUUACAGGUUAAGGCUCUUCUGGUCGGGUGCUAAACACAGGGAAAGUCGUUUCAUUAAUUCAAUAAAUGAGUUUCAGUAAGCAGAUAGAGCAGAG